GAUAUUGCACAAUGGACGGAAGUCUGAUGCAGCGACGCCGCGUGGGUGAAGAAGGUUUUCGGAUCGUAAAGCCCUUUUCUAUGUGACGAGGAAGGACGGUAGCAUAGGAAUAAGUGUCGGCUAACUACGUGCCAGCAGCCGCGGUAAAACGUAGGACACAAACGUUAUCCGGAGUUACUGGGCGUAAAGCGCGCGUAGGCGGUUGGAAAAGUUACCUAUGAAAGGUACCGGCUAAACUGGUAUAAGUUGGGUGAAACUGUUCAACUAGAGAGAAAUAGAGGGAAGUAGAAUUCCGGGUGUAGUGGUGAAAUGCGUAGAUAUCCGGAGGAAUACCGGUGGCGAAGGCGGCUUCCUGGAUUUCCACUGACGCUGAUGCGCGAAAGCGUGGGUAGCGAACGGGAUUAGAAACCCCGGUAGUCCACGCCGUA
rnacentral:rRNA from 1 species